rnacentral:lncRNA from 1 species
GCAACUAUAGUGAAAUCCCUUAAUUUAUAUAUUUUUGUCAGAUCCCUCAAAAUGUUAAAGCACAAACCUGUGACAAGAAGUUCUUAAAUUUAGGAAACAUUUUCGUAGAUAUUUGUUUUCAUGGUUUUGCGAGUCUGCAUACAAGCCUAUAGAAAAUUAGUAAUUCAUUGAACAUUUAGAUUUAUGUUACACCUGUUACCACAAAAAUAGGUAUCCAACCAACCCUUAUAAAUAUACAGUAAUCUGUCGUUUCCAAAUCUAAUGCAUCCUGGGUAAUAUUUUGAAAAGUGUACACCAAAACGUGAUGAUUGGUUAAAGAUGUCAUAAGCAAGGAAAUUUAACCAAUAACGUGAUGUUAUUUUCAUUUAGGGGUACGAACAAUGAAAAAUACCCAUGGUUCUUUAGAUUCCAAAACGGCCAAUUGUGAUGAAUUGCAAAAAGUUUAUAUUAUGACCCAAUUUUCACCUCGGU